rnacentral:rRNA from 1 species
UCGGGAAGAACANCAAUGGCGAAGGCAGGUCUCUGGGCCGUCACUGACGCUGAGGAGCGAAAGCGUGGGGAGCGAACAGGAUUAGAUACCCUGGUAGUNCACGCCGUAAACGGUGGAUGCUGGAUGUGGGGCCCGUUCCACGGGUUCCGUGUCGGAGCUAACGCGUUAAGCAUCCCGCCUGGGGAGUACGGCCGCAAGGCUAAAACUCAAAGAAAUUGACGGGGGCCCGCACAAGCGGCGGAGCAUGCGGAUUAAUUCGAUGCAACGCGAAGAACCUUACCUGGGCUUGACAUGUUCCCGACGGCCGUAGAGAUAUGGCCUCCCUUCGGGGCGGGUUCACAGGUGGUGCAUGGUCGUCGUCAGCUCGUGUCGUGAGAUGUUGGGUUAAGUCCCGCAACGAGCGCAACCCUCGCCCUGUGUUGCCAGCACGUCAUGGUGGGAACUCACGGGGGACCGCCGGGGUCAACUCGGAGGAAGGUGGGGAUGACGUCAGAUCAUCAUGCCCCUUACGUCCAGGGCUUCACGCAUGCUACAAUGGCCGGUACAGCGGGAUGCGACAUGGCGACAUGGAGCGGAUCCCUGAAAACCGGUCUCAGUUCGGAUUGGAGUCUGCAACCCGACUCCAUGAAGGCGGAGUCGCUAGUAAUCGCGGAUCAGCAACGCCGCGGUGAAUGCGUUCCCGGGCCUUGUACACACCGCCCGUCAAGUCAUGAAAGUGGGCAGCACCCGAAGCCGGUGGCCUAACCCCUUGUGGGANGGAGCCGUCUAAGGUGAGGCUCGUGA